rnacentral:rRNA from 1 species
GAUGAACGCUAGCUACAGGCUUAACACAUGCAAGUCGCGGGGCAGCAUGGGGGUUGCUUGCAAUCCCCGAUGGCGACCGGCGCACGGGUGAGUAACGCGUAUCCAACCUGCCCUUCACCACGGGAUAACCCGGCGAAAGUCGGACUAAUACCGUAUGUUGUCCAUUGACGGCAUCCGAUUUGGACGAAAGGUUUGGCGGUGAAGGAUGGGGGUGCGUCCGAUUAGCUGGACGGCGGGGUGACGGCCCACCGUGGCGACGAUCGGUAGGGGUUCUGAGAGGGAGGGCCCCCACACUUGAACUGGGACACCGUCCAGACUCCUACGGGAGGCAGCAGUUGGGAAUAAUGGUCAAUGGGCGGUAGCCUGAACCAGCCAAGUAGCGUGCAGGAUGACGGCCCUAUGGGUUGUAAACUGCUUUUAUGCGGGGAUAAAGUGGCCCACGUGUGGGUUUUUGCAGGUACCGCAUGAAUAAGGACCGGCUAAUUCCGUG